rnacentral:rRNA from 1 species
CCUACGGGUGGCAGCAGUGAGGAAUAUUGGACACUGGGCGCGAGCCUGAACCAGCCAAGUCGCGUGAAGGAUGACUGCCCUCCGGGUUGUAAACUUCUUUUAUAGAGGAAUAAAGUGAGUCACGUGUGCCUUUUUGUCUGUACUUUAUGAAUAAGGAUCGGCUAAUUCGGUGCAAGCAGCCGCGUUAAUACGGAGGAUCCGGGCGUUAUCCGGAUUUAUUGGGUUUAAAGGGAGCGUAGAUGGGUGGUUAAGUCAGUUGGGAAAGUUUGCGGCUCAACCGUAAAAUUGCAAUUGAUACUGGCAGCCUUGAGUACAGGUGAGGUAGGCGGAAUUCGUGGUGUAGCGGUGAAAUGCUUAGAUAUCACGAAGAACUCCGAUUGCGAAGGCAGCUUACUAAACUGCCACUGACAUUGAUGCUCGAAAGUGUGGGUAUCAAACAGGAUUAGAUACCCUGGUAGUC